UACAGAGGUGGCAAGCGUUGUUCGGAAUUACUGGGCGUAAAGGGCGCGUAGGCGGUUUCGUAAGUCCCGUGUGAAAGCCCCCGGCUCAACUGGGGAACUGCACGGGAAACUGCGAGGCUUGAGUUCGGGAGAGGGAAGCGGAAUUCCGGGUGUAGCGGUGAAAUGCGUAGAUAUCCGGAGGAACACCGGUGGCGAAGGCGGCGUCCUGGACCAACACUGACACUGAGGAGCGAAAGCCAGGGGAGCAAACGGG
rnacentral:rRNA from 1 species